UACGAAGGGGGCUAGCGUUGCUCGGAAUGACUGGGCGUAAAGGGCGCGUAGGCGGUUUGUACAGUCAGGUGUGAAAUCCCCGGGCUCAACCUGGGGGCUGCACUUGAUACGUAUGGACUGGAGUGGGGAAGAGGGUCGUGGAAUUCCCAGUGUAGAGGUGAAAUUCGUAGAUAUUGGGAAGAACACCGGUGGCGAAGGCGGCGACCUGGUCCUUGACUGACGCUGAGGCGCGAAAGCGUGGGGAGCAAACAGG
rnacentral:rRNA from 1 species